UUUCAUAGAAAAUUGCUCUGAAUAGAAAUAGCUAGAGUUUGUUCCUUUGGUGUUCUUUGUUGUGUGUUUUUUGUUUAAUUUCUUGCUGUUGUGCAUAUAUUUUCGUGUUCUUACUAUUUUUUGUUGUCAGUUUGAAGCUCCAAUUCUUCAAAGUGCAAAAUGGAGGGUGGUCCCCUCGGGGCACUUCUCCUCUGACAAAGAACGGAUUCUCUCAAAGCUGACAGAUCAGAAAUUGUGAGUUCGAUUUUUAAGGUUCUUGGAAGGCAAGACACAUACUGGAAGGCAGGAGUGUUUUAAAAGGCACUUUGACAGUCCAGUUGGAGAGGUGCUCGGACUCUGAUCAGUUGGGGCACAUCCCGUGAUUUAACUGGUCUGUGUGAAGAGGGAUUAGAUCACAUAUCCAAAGAAUAGUCGUCGAAGAUGGACACCUUGAUAAAAUAAAAUAAAAUAAAAAUGAAGGGCGACGGUGCUACUAGCAAUGCGCAAGGGACUGCUUGUCGAUGUGUACGGUGCGGGUCGUGCUUUUAUAGGGUACGAUUCUCUUUUCUUAUCUAACUUUGUUCACUUUUAUACCGCAGCUGUACUUGUAGAGGCCAAACGGAUUAUUUCCCUCUACAACCAUGUUCUUUAUGUCACAAUCAUGGAUGUGGAGCAGUGCAAAGCUUGCUAUUACUAAAGUUCAUAGGGACAUAAUUAACCGUGUAUGUUGGCUUCUUGAAUUUUUGCUCCUUUUUUCAUGUGUUGAGAUUCUAGAAUUUCAGAGAACAAUUCAAGUUUGUGUGAUGGUUUUGCCAUAUAUGAUGCGUGUACCUAUGAUCCCCAUUCUAGUAUUCUUACUUUUGUGUUUUUUUGAAAUUCUAAAAUGGACACGCAGAAAAAUGAGACCACAAUAAUUUAAAAAAUGAGAAUACUAGAAUUAACUGAUCAAGAGGAAAAAGUAACAAUUCAUAAAAAUGAUCGAAUUUUUUUAUAUAUAAAAAAUUUUCAAAUAAAAAAAUAAUGAAGAUGAAAAAAUAGUAUAACAAUUUAUAACCAAAAAAAAAAAAACUUGACGCCAAACCACAUAAUUUUUUAUAAAAUGAUUUAAAUUAUAUUGAAAAAUUUGUAGCGAAAAAAUAAUAAAUAUUAAUAAAAUAAUUGAUUUUUUUUGAAAAAAAAGGGACGACUUUUACGCAAUUUUUAACACAUACGGUUGAUGUAUGUUUAACCUUUUUCGAUAUUCAUUUAGAUCAUUCGAUAUGUCUAUGAUAUAGUUCUCGAAAUGAGUUUCGAGAGAAUAUAGAAGAUUUAUGAAUUCGACUAACGUACAAUCCUCGAAAAAAUUUUAAAGUCAGUUUGUUAUCGAAAUUUUCAAAAUACUAGUUUGAAAAGGCCUACUUUGACGAACCGUAACAUUUGCUACGAUUGACCAUUUCACGCACCGUUAAUGACGUGAAAUAUUAGGUCAUGAAUACUUCAAAAUGAUACUAAAAAUGUAAUAUUUCGACUUCGUUUGAUAUCCCAUAAUAAGCUCGAAAAUCAAUACAAAACAUAAGAAAUUUCUGAAUUUAUUACAUACUUUCCUCCAACCCAAUCGUCGCUUCUUUUUCCUUUCACUGACACGUGACACGUCCCAUUUUUUAAAUUUCUGUGAGACUUCUGUAAUAUAUACUUUGUUUGUUGUGUGAGAUUUACUGGGUGCAUAAUUCUCGGGGGAUAUUCAUUUUUUCCUAUUUUCAUUCCUUGCUUUUGGCGUCUGCAGGUGUUGUUUUUCGCAUACCAUCCAUCGACUUCCUGGUGCAUUGCGGUGUUUGUUUGGAGCUUUGGGGAUUUCGAAAUUGCCACAUCUAGACCUGAGUUGAGUUCUUUUCCAUUCAUUUUGCUGGGUACUUGCUCGAAUUCUAGAUUCCAUGUAUUUUCGAUUUCUUUACUUCUUUACAUGAAAAAAUAUUUAUUCCAUUUUUUUCUCGCUUCAGUACAUUUAGUUCAGAUUCUGCAAUUUUCCCUUUACAUUUUUUGGUAUUGUUCCUUCUUACGUUUCUGCGAUUGAUUUAUCUAUUUUGGUUUUUAUUAAUUUUGUUAGCUUGGUCACAUGUUGUUGAUUUUGUUUCAUUUGGUAUGGGUUUUAUGGAUUUGCAGAAAACACGCUAUUUUUAAAAAAUCAGGUCAAAGGAGUUAUCUUUUGCAUCUGAAAUCUUAUUAUUCUGUCGAGGGAUAAUUUGGGAGUUUAGAAUAUGAAAAUGAUGUCUGUUAGACACACUUGUAAUAUGUUAGACACACUUUCACUUGUGUGUGGGUUUGCUGAAUUUUUUUUAAUUGAAAAUUUUAGCAAGAUGAUAUUGGUUCUCUUCUUGAUGUACUAAUGUGAUACUUUUUCCUCAUCGAUUUCGUUGUCCCAAACAACCAUAAAAAUUUUUAAAAAAUUAAAUUCUUAAGUUAUAACAGGGACCGUGCAACGCAAGAUCCCUCACUAGUUCUAUUAAAAACAUGGAUGUGACACAUUUAUUUAUUUAAAUGUUAUAUUCAACAAAACUGAAGAAUAUAAUUUGACGUCAUGUGAAUGCAUGGCCGGUCCUGAGACGAGGCAAAUGAGGCCCUCGUCUCAGGCCCAAGAACAUAAAGGGCCUCAUUUCAGCCCGGAUUUUUUUCUUUCACAAAACAAGACAAAACAGCCCAAAUCUAAUGAUAUGGGAUUUGAUGUAAAUUUAUUGAAGACAAUAUCUAAAAUGGUUAAAUUUGGGAUUUAUUUUCUUGAAAAUGAUGUGGAAUUUGAUGAAUUUUAUAAGUGGGUGUAUAUAAAUAUUCAUGUCGUUGUCUUAUUUUUGUACAAAAACUUCGUAAAGAUAGAUAUUUAUGUGAUUGUAUUUGUUAAAUCCAUGUUGUCAUCUUAUUUUUGUACAAAACUUUGCGAAGAUAUUACUACAUUUUACAAUUCUUUCAUUCUAAAUCUGCUUUAAAAGGGAUAGAAAGUCGUAUUUUAAUCUAUAUGUAUAUUUUUUGUUUAAUUUUAGUUGAUAAUAAAUCUUUAGUCAAUUAUGUCGAUUUCUUAAUUUGCACUUCCACACUUGACACAAGUUCCUUAACUCUAUGAUUAAAUCUUUGGUUUUGAUAUUUUAUAAUAUAAAUCAUUUUUAUAAUAUAUUUUGUUGUUGUUUAAAUGCUAGUUUUAAGUUAGCAAUAUGUCGCAUAAUAUACAGUUGAAUUUUACAUUUAAGUUGAUUUUGUCGAGGCCUAAUUUGCGGAAUUCGCCUCGAGCCCCCGACAAUAACAGGUUCGACCCUGUGUGAAUGGAUAAGUAUAUCAUAAUCUUUGUUCUAUUUCAUUUUAAGAUCCCAAAUAUUCUUAUGCAAUAACACACGGCUAAAAAUCGGGUGUGAUUUCAUUAGGUUCCAAAGGAAAGGCCAUGGUGAAAUCAAUUAGUUUGUAUUUGAGCUCCAUUCUUUAAAAAACAAAUUUUUUCAAACUCAUUUUUAACACACAUUCUCGUAAUAAAAUAAUUUUACAAGUAAGUUUAAAAUUUUUUCCUACUUUCUAAUUACACAUUCUAAAAAAAAAAAAAAAAAAAACUUAUAAAGUCGCUCAAACAAAUUAACAUUGAAGCUGACAAGAAAAAUGAUAUUUUUGUAAUAUGUAAAUAAGGAUUUUUCUAGAUGUAAAUAAUGGACACCAUUGGCACCUCCCCAUUGGAAGAGGUGUUUGUGGGCCCGUUGUCACGGAUUUGCUAAUUUCCUUCAAGAACCGUGCGGCCUUAGUGUCUUCAACUUCCGCCCCCGCGGUUAUUACACUAAGUCAGCCUCCCGAUUGGCGUUGAUGUCUUAGAAAAGCACUAAGUAGAACACUUUAAGAAAGGGACAAUGAAGGAACACAAGGACUUACAAAGAAUGCUUUGUAUUGAAUAAGGAUACUUUUUACAACUUCACUCUCUUGAUCUUCAAAUGAAUCCUACCAAACUAUUUAUAGUGGUAGCCUCCUCAAAUGGAUGGCUAGGAUCUUUUCUAUCCAACGAUCUAAAUUACACCUCUAGAAUUAUCUAUACAAAUAUCUACACUAAAAUAUGAAUGGACUAAACUAGGAUGAUCUAGAAUAAUCCACAAAGUGAGGGGCUUGUAGUUUCUAGAAUGUCCCAUUGAUUGGCACUCACAAAGUGCCGGAGAUAGCACUCCAACAAAGCAUUCACCCUUUCUGUUUGUCCAUCCGUCUAAGGGUGAAAGCUUGUAGAGAAGUGUAGGUCCGAGCCUAGGAGUUUGAACAACUCCGUCCAUAGCCGACCCGUGAAUCGAGGAUCCCUGCCUAUUUGGGCGACGUCCUCGUCGCCGCGUAAUGCUUUAGUUUAUCUUCGAACUGCCACAAGUCUUCUUGACUUUUCCACGUUGCUUCGGACUCGGGCAAUCCCUUCCACUUUAUCAAAAAUUGUUGGCAAGGAGGCACUCCACGCCUUCGAACAAUGCGAUCUGCUAGGACCUCAUCAACCUCCUUGUCAAAUGACUUAGUCACAAUCGGAGGUGCCCGUUGUGACUCCCCUCGGCUAGGGUCUUCCAUGUCUUCAUGAUAUGGCUUUAACAUGCUCACGUGGAAGACAGGAUGAAUCUUUAAAGUGCUAGGUAGGUCAAGGCGAUAAGAUACCUUGCCAACCUUAGCUAUUAUCGGGAACGACCCUUCAUAUCUCCGUACCAAGCCUUUGUGCACACUUCGGUACGCCUUGAAUUGUUGAGGUAAUAUUUUCACAAGGACUUGGUCGCCAACUUUAAAUUCCAAAGGCCGUCUCUUCUUAUCAGCCCACUUCUUCAUGCGCCUCCGUGCUUUGUUUAAACAAGAUCGUGCUAAGUCGGCAUGCUCUUGCCGUCUCUUCUUAUCAGCCCACUUCUUCAUGCGCCUCCGUGCUUUGUUUAAACAAGAUCGNNNNNNNNNNNNNNNNNNNNNNNNNNNNNNNNNNNNNNNNNNNNNNNNNNNNNNNNNNNNNNNNNNNNNNNNNNNNNNNNNNNNNNNNNNNNNNNNNNNNNNNNNNNNNNNNNNNNNNNNNNGCUGUGCAAUCCUUGGUGACAGGAAUGAAGGUGCCAUACUUAGAGAAUUGAUCAACCACCGCCAUUAUUGACCCGAACCCUUCGGAUUUAGGCAGGGCACUAAUGAAGUCCAUGGUGAUAGAGUCCCAUGGACGCUCCGGGACUGGUAGAGGCUCCAACAAGCCUGCCGGUGACCUUGUUUCCACCUUGUCUUGUUGGCACACAAGACAAGUCUUUACAUAGAGCUCCACCAUGUCUUUCAUUUGCGGCCAAUAGUAAGCUCGUUCAAGUAGUGCCAAUGUGCGUUUCUGCCCUGGAUGACCAGCCCACUUUAUGUCAUGGCACUCCUUGAUGAUAUCUCGCCGCAAAUUGUUCCAUUUAGGAACAUAGAUACGCUGCCUCGUAGUGUAGAGUAAGCCGUCCUCGACCCAAAAUCGUCGUGUCUUUCCUUCUUGGGCAGCGUUUACCAACUCCUUAGCCAAGGGAUCAUGAUCCAUGCCUUCCCGAAUCAAAUCAAGCAACGUCCCUUUGGCUUGGCUUAUGGCUGCAAGCUCCGCCUUCCUGCUUAACGCAUCGGCUACAACAUUCGCCUUCCCCGGCUUGUAUUCCAUCACAUAGUCAAACUCCGCUAAGAAAUCUUGCCAACGUGCUUGCUUGGGAGUCAGCUUCUUUUGUGAUUGGAAAUAACUAGUAGCGACAUUAUCCGUCUUGAUGAUGAAUUUUGAGCCCAACAAGUAAUGACGCCACACUCGUAGGCAAUGAACAAUAGCCGUCAUUUCCUUUUCUUGCACCGUAUACCGACGCUCAGUGUCGUUGAGCUUGCGACUUUCAAAAGCAAUAGGAUGCCUUUCUUGCAUUAGAACACCCCCGAUAGCAAAGUCUGAGGCAUCCGUUUGUACUUCAAAGGUCUUGGUGAAAUCCGGCAAUGCCAAGACUGGUUCCUCCAUCACGGCCGCCUUCAAAUCAUCAAAGGCCGUUUGACAUUUCUCGGACCAAUCUCAUGUCUUAUUCUUCUUCAAUAGGUCCGUUAGUGGGGCUGCCCUCGCUGAGUAGCCUUGGAUGAACCGCCGAUAAUAAUUAACUAGACCAAGGAAAGAACGAAGUUCGGUUACCUUGGUUGGUGCUUCCCACUCCUUGAUUGCUNNNNNNNNNNNNNNNNNNNNNNNNNNNNNNNNNNNNNNNNNNNNNNNNNNNNNNNNNNNNNNNNNNNNNNNNNNNNNNNNNNNNNNNNNNNNNNNNNNNNNNNNNNNNNNNNNNNNNNNNNNNNNNNNNNNNNNNNNNNNNNNNNNNNNNNNNNNNNNNNNNNNNNNNNNNNNNNNNNNNNNNNNNNNNNNNNNNNNNNNNNNNNNNNNNNNNNNNNNNNNNNNNNNNNNNNNNNNNNNNNNNNNNNNNNNNNNNNNNNNNNNNNNNNNNNNNNNNNNNNNNNNNNNNNNNNNNNNNNNNNNNNNNNNNNNNNNNNNNNNNNNNNNNNNNNNNNNNNNNNNNNNNNNNNNNNNNNNNNNNNNNNNNNNNNNNNNNNNNNNNNNNNNNNNNNNNNNNNNNNNNNNNNNNNNNNNNNNNNNNNNNNNNNNNNNNNNNNNNNNNNNNNNNNNNNNNNNNNNNNNNNNNNNNNNNNNNNNNNNNNNNNNNNNNNNNNNNNNNNNNNNNNNNNNNNNNNNNNNNNNNNNNNNNNNNNNNNNNNNNNNNNNNNNNNNNNNNNNNNNNNNNNNNNNNNNNNNNNNNNNNNNNNNNNNNCCCCGGUUCCAACUCAAUCUUAUGAUCCACCUCCCUCCUAGGUCGUAAUUUCUUGGGUAACUCCGGCGGCAUCACGUCCUUAUUUUCUUCAAGGACAUUCUUGAUGACUUCGGGCACAUUAUCGUCACCCACAACUUCCUCAACUUGGUCCUCCAUUUUUAAUGCUGCCAAAUACGUUGCCUCUCCUUUCUUUAGCCCUUUUGCUAGUUGCAUGGCCGAAAGCUGCCCCAUUGCUUUCGUCCUAGCUACCGUAGGAACCAUGCAUGGAGAACCCUUCUCCAAGAUGCAAACUGAGCCAAAGGAAGGCAUAGGAAUAUCAUUGACCUUCCUCAUGAAGUCCAGCCCGAGAACCAAGCGAAAAUCAUCCAUUGUAGCCACUGAAAAAUCCACUUGGCCAUGCCAAGUGCCUAAUUGAAUUUCCACUCCUCGAACUAUGCCACCAAGGGGCGUGGAUGGAGAAUUCACAGCUUUCAUAAGACCACCACUUUUAGUGAUUGUGAGGCCCAACCUUCUAGCCUCAUCUUUAGUAAUGAAGUUGUUGGUAGCUCCCGUAUCCACCAUUGCUAGUGCGGGCCGUCUAUUUACUUGAGCUUCCACAUACAUUAAUCCUCGUUCAUUAUUGGAAGCCGGAAUGACCUUAGCAUUGAGAGCGUUAAGAAGUUGCAAUGAACUAAAAUGUUCCGCCCUUUGCUCUUGGCAAGAGGAUGAAUCCCGUUCCUCCGCCAUAGCCGCCAAUGUGCCAAGUUUAGGGCAAUCAAGCAUUAAAUGUGGCCCCUUGCACACGAAGCAUCCAGUUUGAGAACCCGUCGAGGCCUUCUUCUUUUCCUCAUAAUUUUUUCGCGAGGGGGAAGGUUUGUAAGCGUUACCACCUUUGAAGAAUGAUGACUUAUGGUAAUCUUUCUUCUCUCCCCCGCCUUUAGCCGAGUUACUCUUAAAGCUUUUAGAAGAUUUUGAUGAAUCCGUGCUCCUUUGGAACUCGGUUAAAGAUUCGGCCACCACAAUAGCCUCGUCUACUGUCUUCACUCCCCGACGUUGAAGUUCUUGCUUUGCCCAAUUUUGCAAUCUGUCGGUAAAGUGAAACAAUAGAUCUUCAUCUGACAUGCUCGGGAUUUGAAGCAUAAGGGGAGUAAACUCUUUGACAUAAUCGCGAAUAGUGCCCUUAUGUUUCAACUCCCUAAGCUUUUUACGGGCCUCAUAUACUACAUUUUCGGGAUAAAAUUGGCGUUUCAAUUCCCUCUUGAAAUCAUCCCAACUAUCUAUCCUACAAGCACCCUUUUCUAUGUCGGCAUGCUUACGUCGCCACCAUAGAGCCGCAGUGUCCGUAAGAUACAUAGUCGAAGUACGUACCUUAGUAGCUUCAUCCAAAAUGUUCACUCCCUCAAAAUAUAUUUCCAAUUGCCAUAGGAAAUCAUCUAGCUCUUUUGCAUCUCGCUUUCCAUCAAACUCCCUAGGCUUUGGAUAGUCGAUCCUUGGAGCCGCUAGCAUCGUGCUAGUACCCGCACUGGUUGACGCCUUCUUACAAGCGUCUAGGCCACUUUGCAUAUCUGCGCAAAGCUUGUUCACUUGGUCUUGGAUCGCUUUGACAGCAUCCAUGACCUUAACCUCCAACCUCGUAUAUUCUUCCCUUAAAGCGCCUUGGUCUUCCUUGAGAUCAUCAAGUUGUUCCAAGGUGUGAGCUUCAAGGGUUGAGAGCGAAUUCUCCACUACUUCAAUGCGUUCCCCCAUAUUGAGAAAUACUUUCUCAAGAGAUCCACCGGUAGGGGCUGGUGGUCGGCUCUUACUUCGAGUUUGUCGAGUUUUCUUACUCGUGGUUUGGGGUUCGACCUCUCGACCCCGCUCAUCAUGUUCUACUUCCGAAAUGUCGGAUCCCACAACAUCUUUUCCAUCCAUGCCAACGAUAGUAAGUGAGCAAACCUAGGCUCUGAUACCAACUGUCACGGACUUGCUAAUUUCCUUCAACAACCGUGCGGCCUUAGUGUCUUCAACUUCCGCCCCCGCGGUUAUUACACUAAGUCAGCCUCCCGAUUGGCGUUGAUGUCUUAGAAAGGCACUAAGUAGAACACUUUAAGAAAGGGACAAUGAAGGAACACAAGGACUUACAAAGAAUGCUUUGUAUUGAAUAAGGAUACUUUUUACAACUUCACUCUCUUGAUCUUCAAAUGAAUCCUACCAAACUAUUUAUAGUGGUAGCCUCCUCAAAUGGAUGGUUAGGAUCUUUUCUAUCCAACGGUCUAAAUUACACCUCUAGAAUUAUCUAUACAAAUAUCUACACUAAAAUAUGAAUGGACUAAACUAGGAUGAUCUAGAAUAAUCCACAAAGUGAGGGGCUUGUAGUUUCUAGAAUGUCCCACCAUAUUCUAGCAAUCUUCAUGCACUUGUGGGAGUCUAGAAUAUUUCGGUUAGUUCCAACUCGUCAACAUUUUAAAUUUCUCGAUCUUCUUGUGCCAAGAUCGAGCGAGUCGUGACACCGUGCCUCCUUCAAUGGGGAGGCACCACCUCGGGAUUAUGGUGUCCAUAAUGUACGCCAAGAAUGGUCCUGUAAAUAAUAAUAUUCAUUAAUUACAUGUUGUAAAAGGGAUUUAUUGCAACAAUCAGUAAAUGUAUAUUACUGUUGAUUGAUUAAAUUGAAAUUUGACAACAUUCUUUAAUGCAUGUUGUUAUUGUGUCCUUUUAUAAUAUUUGCUAUCCACUGUCGUUAAUUGCUUAAUAACGUGCAAAGUACGUUGUCAUCAACAUUGCUACCAUUUGCUCAUUGGUGUCCAUUACUUGUUUUAACAAUCCAACCAAACCCAAUCCAAUACGGUUAACUUGCUAAUUAACCGCACAAUUGACGAAUGGCAUUGUAGUUAGAGCUAAGGGUUUGUUUGUGCCCAUUUUUUUGUUAAUACAUUUUGGAAUAUCGAUCCUUUUGAAGAAUGUGUUGUUAAAAAAUAAAGGAAAAUUUUGAACUUACGUGUAAAUUUAUUUUAUUGCUUUUACUACUAUUGUUUUACCUUGAAGAUAAUAUCUCAUUUGUAGUAACUUGUUCAUUAUCUCAUGUUUCGAAUUGCAGGUUUCUUGUUAAAGAGUACCCCGCAUAAGAUAAAUAAGUUUCUUCAGACAAGAUGGGCAACUGUCUAGUGGGUAUGUUUGGCUUAACAACAUCUUAAACAAAUAUUUCACAGAAUUGUAUUUAUUUAUGAAGCACUGAAAAAAUCACAAUUACAUGGGCAUAAAUAGGGGAAAAAAAGGCAACAAUUGAAACGUUGUGCACUUGAUAAUCUAGCAUUGAAACUAUCUGCUUACUUAGGAGUGUGGAAUUCGCACAGUUCAUCUCAUCUUAUACUACACAGCAUAACAGAAGUUGAAGAGAGUAAGAACCAUCUUUUCAGUGAAACCAAAUGAUGAAUGGGAAGAAUGGGCAGUUAAGUAAUAUAAUAACAACAAUAACUAUAUAGAUACAUAUUGAGUUAUGAAAUCUCCAAUUUGAUAUGUAGAUGAAUUAGGUAGAUAAAAGAUAGUGAGUAACAGAAUAUUUUGAGAAGGAAAAAUCAAGAUAUCCCAUGUUAUUAUUAGAUGCUUGCAAGAACAUAAUUAAACUUAGACUCUGGAAACAAUGAUUUAAGUUCCAUUUUCAACAAUAAACUAUUUCUAAAAUUUGAAAAAGGAUUCUGUCAAUGGAUCUUAAGUCUAUUUGGUGUCUCAUCUAGUGUCUCUAUAGUCGAAUCUGUAGAUACCUUUUCCUGAUAUUGUUGGACCACGAGGACCGAUGCUGUUGUAGAGAACUAUGGCGAUAUUAACAAGCUCCCACUAAGGCAUGGGAUUUACCAAAACUAAAUUGCACAAGCAUAACUACGAAUCAUACCAAUUGUCUCUGCAACAUUUCUCACACUUCUCUCUUCAUAUGUGAUAGAGCUAUCUUCUAAUGUUUUUCUCCUUGAAAUUGGCAAGAAACUUCUCAUUUGUUGAGAUCUACAUUUAUUCUUAAGAAUUUCACCUAAACUUGAGGGUGGAUAAAAUGUCCAGACCAGUCCAAACCAAGCGGUUCGGUUCAGUUCUAUCAAAAAAAUUAAUGAUUUUGGUUUUUUGAAUCGAGAACCAUUUGGUUUUGGUUCUGGUUCAGUUUUAGUUAAAAAAUCAGAACCAGAACCAAAAUUAAUAUUUAAUUUUAUAUAUAAUAAUUAGUGGAGAUCCUAAUUUUAUAUUCAUUGGAGAUAGUCCAUUAAUUGAAUACAAUUUAUUAAUCAAUUUUGGGUCAUUUGAGAUAAACAACUCAUUAGUUGUCUACACCCUAAUUUUGUAUUUAGUUGAAUUCACUCCUUUUCGAUUUACACAACAUCGUAGCAUACAGGUAACACAUUUCAUCAAGUCAGUAGAGUGUCAUUUAAGAUUAAAAAAUGAAAUGAUCAGUUACUUAAAAAUGUCUCUAAACUCUAUUUUUUAGCUUGAUUGUUUGAUGAGUUAUUUGUGUUCUUCACAAACAGAGAUAAACCUAAUAAACAUUCAUAAAAUAUUAAACGGUUAAUGAACCUAUAGAAGUGGACUGUAAAAAUUUUAAUAAUUCAUUUUUUAUUGUAGGGGUGUAUCUUCAAAACUACCGCAAUUUAUUUAGUGAAUUAUUGCUAUUACUUAUUAAAAUUUUUUUUUUGGUAUGAAAAUAAAAAUUGAUUUGUGUAUUCAAAUUAUGAAUAUAUUUUGUUUGUUAAUUAUGACUUUUUUGAUCUCGAUGAUUGAAAUUUGAACUUCCUAAAUGUUUGAUAUUUAUUUUCUUAUUUAGGUAUACAUUACUAAUUUAUAUAAUACAAAACUAAAAAUUCAAGAAAUAAAAUUAGAACCAAACCAAACCAGAACCGAACGAUUCGGUUCAAGUUGGUUUCAUAUUUUUAAAAAAAACAUUUGGUUCCAUUAUCAAAAAAAUCAUUGGUUCAUGAUUCGAUUCGGUUCUCUUAGAACCAGAACCAUAUGGAACCACAAAAGAGAAUGACUUUCAACAUGAUUCCAGGGUGUUGAGACGUGAACGCAUCGCAGUCAUUACUAGUAGAUAUGUGGGAGGUUCCUCCAAGUCCAAGAUCAACCAAUAUCCCCAUCGAACACGAAGCAUGCUGCAGAAGUCUAUGGUUAUCCCAGCCGAAAUCUGCUUUAGUAGUCUCCAGUGAGCCAUCCAACCUCUGAUGCUUGUGAAAUGGUAAAAUGAUUAUUGCUGCACUCUUCCUCUCAGCAGUGGUGCAAAUGUAUCCGAGCAUGUGCAUGUCAGACAGGGAUGAGAUGGAAGUCAUUGGUCGAACAGAAACUUUGCUUAACUACUGAAAAGCCUCAAAAGCAACAAUGACCUAGUUGGCAUCUGAACUUUAUUCCAAAAGGGAAGACCAUUUUUUCUGGCUUUCUGUAUCAUCAAUAUUGCUGAUGAUCUCUAGAGAGCUCCAUGAGGUGCAUUGCAUAAACAAAUAGGCCUUCAUGUUUCUCAGUUCCACGCUAGGACUCCAUAAGGUUAAUGAUAGAUGGGAAGUUUCUAGACUUAUGAAAACAGGCCAAUAUCUGAAGUUGAGUGUUCGGAAUUUUCCUUUCUAUUGUUCUAUGUUUAUAGCCAGUUUUGUUUACUUUUUUUUGCCUGUUUAUACACAGCCAUCACUACCAGAGUGGUGAUGAAAGUAGUGAACAGAGCCACCAAAACCAUGAUAGCAAAUGUCUGGUCAUUCAAAACCUGCAUUGUAAUUAUGUUGGACAAUCCAUGAGAUCUUCAAUAAUCAUGACUCAAAGUAAGUUACCAUUGCUGCCAAGGAAAAAUAUUACCUUUCUAUCUUUGCCAUUGUUAAGAACUAUGAGCUCUACCAAGCCUUUACAAUCCAUAAGAAAGCCAAGAGCAAGAACUUCACUAAUGGGCAUUUUGCUCACAAGGGAAACGACAACAGUUCCAACAAUCUUCCCAAAGCUGGCAGUGAAUAUAACCAAUGCCAGAAGACCUCAUGACUGAAUCCCUUGGAUUGUUGCCACAUUAGUUUUCAAUUCACUUGAAACAAAGUAUGGGGGAGGAAAAGGCCUAAUAAAAGAUCCUCAACCUUUUCAACUAGUGCACCAGCAUAUGGUCCUUCUGGGACAAGUACACCAACCACAAAAGCUCUAAACAUAGCAUGAAUCCCAAUAGUAUCAGUAACAAAAACCUGCUGCAAGCACAAAAGCUAAUGCAAGACGCAUAUGCAUCUCAUCCAUAGGCUCUCUUCAUGACAGCGCCUAGCUAUCCAUUUAAAUAUUAUUGAGAUGAUGAAGUAUAAACAAAUGACAAAACCACACCCACAAAGGAAAACCCAUAAGGACAACACACAAAAGAUUAUCGCCAGAUAAGGCGAUGACAAGAGCAAGCAAGAUCCAUACAGGUACAUCAUUUGCUGCCGAUGCAGACAUGGCCAUUCUUCCAACAUCGGUUGUUAAAAGCUUCAGUUUAACCCAGAUUCGAGCCAAAACAGGGAAUGCAGUUAUGGAAAGGGCUACACCUAUAAAAAUGAGAAAUGAGGUUACAUUUACACCUUUUGGUAUGGUUGCUCGGAGGACAAAUGAUGAACCAAUUCCUAAUGCAAAUGAGAGGCUGAUCCCUACAAUGGCUAUGCUGAGAGCUUUUUUACCCAUUCUAGAGAGGGAUUUAGUAUCCAGUUCUAAGCCAGCUAGAAAAACAAAGAACAGGAGACCAAUAAUUGCUAGAGUAUCUAACACGGUAAAGCUUAUUGGUGGGAAUAUUGCAGCCAAAUAGCUUUUGUUUGUACCAAGAACAGAUGGUCCAAGUUAUUCCUCCCUGAACAAUAAGAUAUACUGUUAGUUGCCAGCAACACUAGAGCUCAAAAUGAUUUUCAUGACACACUAAUGUAAAUGGGAAGGAAAAAGGACAAGUAUGAAUUUUAUGGAUAAAGUGAAAUAGACUAAAUUACAUGAAGGAAAAACGAGCAUGUGCAACCUUGUACAUCAAAUAUGACUUUUACCUCAAGACUACAUGACUUCUUAUUGUGAGGUCCAUUAGUAUAUCAUCAACAUAUGAAAGUCAAAGGCAUUUAUGAUAAGACACUGUGCCUUUCAUGUGAACAUUCAAAUUUGUAAGCCUAUUAGAUAAUACACUUAUUUAUGUACUGUUCAUAAAUGAAACAAAAAAAAUUACCAAUCAGUGCAAGCUAACACUGAGGACAUUCGAUAUCACAACAUUCUGAUCCAAGCCUUUCGAGUGAAACAACAAACACCGGUUAAUAACUAGUCUAUGUUAGAUUCAUUUCCCUUAUACUUGUUCUUCUCAAAUCCUUCACAAGAUGAGUUUUUCUAAAUUACUUAUGCAUUAAUAUACAACAGUAACAAAAAGCAAGGAGCUUACAAUAAUCUCAAAAACUACUCUGAUGACUACAAUGACUAAACAUAUCUGCAAGAUUGCAAGGGAGAGAGCAAAGUCCAGCGGGUUAUCCCCUCGGAAUACACAAUUAGAUGUGGCAUUCAUUGGAGAAGGGCAAGUAUGCCAUGCUUCACUAUUUAAUGCCAUUGUAACAGGAAUCUGAAUUAAGAAGAUCAAUUUAUCACUCCAAUCAUGUGCAACAUGAAUCAUUCAGGCUGAUAUCUUUAGGUGUGUAAAUUUCAAUACCACUUAAACGGACCCCAUUUACAAAGAGAUCACAUAGUAAGCCAUACAAGUAAUUACAUUCUAUUUUCCAAAACAAUAGUAAAUAUAUGUCAGGAAAAAAUGUUAUUCUCGCUUAUUCAACCAUGGGGACUAAAUGAAAAAAUCUAAUCUCUUAAAAUAAAUACUCUCCAAUAUUUACGACAUGUGGGAAAUAAAAAUGAAAAUUUUGGUUGAUCAAUCUAUCCUCCAACUUAUUAUAGGAAUACAAACAUUCUAGUAAAUGAAAAAUUUCUUUAAUUUUAGGCAUAACAAAUCUAACCAUCAUAGCCACCUAAUUUCUCCUCAAUUGCUAUCACCUUUACCUGACAUGUAUGUCCAUCAUUUGUUUCCAUUACAGAAUAGCUGCUCAUCCAUCUCCAGAUCCACACUUUUCUCACGUUUGUUUCUGGAUAUUUUGUGCUUGAAGAGCAGAAAUGACGAGGAUAUCUAGCUUGGACUAUUUAGUUAGUAUUUUAUUUGGGUUUGUAUUCUGUUUUGGGCUUGUCCAAGCCUUUUAUUUUGUUUUUGGGCUUGUAUCAUGUAUUGGGCUGGCCCAAGCCCUUCUAUAUUUUGUAUUGUAUAAAAGUAUGCAGUCUUCUAUGCAUGGGGGAUAGAUUUGAUGGAAAUGAAAUGACAAUUGGAGUGUUGUAGGCAUUCUCCCCUUUUCCACUGCCCCUCCUCCUCUUGUCUUCCUUUCCUACUUCUUUCUCUUUCUUUUAUCUGGUUUCUACUUCCCUCUCU
rnacentral:lncRNA from 1 species